CCGCUUCCCAGCCUAAAAAAAUCGAAGUCUGGCCUCAUCACGUCCGCUCGUCUUUCUCCCUUAUCCUCUCUCUCUAGCCCCGCGCGCAUCUGGCGGCCACUGCACAUGCGUCGCCCCUUCAUCUUCCCCACCAUCCGGGCUUCGAUCGAUUUCUUCUUUUGUUGGUUCUUCUUCAGCGCGCAAGAAUCAAUGUAGGCGGUGUACGCCCCAUGAAAUCCAAUAAGAACAACAGCGGCUUAUGCCCCGCUAAAUCCGGCAAGAGCGUCAGCGGCGUGUGCCCGGUCACCGGCAAGAAUCACGGUGCUGAAGAGAAGAGCACCGAUCCUCGGAUGGUGCCCGGGCACUGCUGGCCGCCGUGGAGCGCGCCGCGUCGGGGCGGCUGCGCGCGGGGAGGUCGAGCUGGAGCAGCGAGCUAGGUGUGUUGUGGUGGCGGCCUUCGUGCCGCCGUAUUUUUCUUUUCAAGCGCGCGCGGCGGACGAGCCGCUCCGCGGUGGCGCGGAAGAGCAGUCGUCUUUUUUUUUUUUUAGUGAUAGCGAAUAUGGCUUUAUUGCCGUCUCCAACUAGUUUGGAACUGUUGUCGUAUUCUGUAGUAGUACGCGCCAUAUUCUGCAGUAGUGUGAGCGUAGAUGGAACUGCUGUGUACGUGGAGCAUUAUUUGAAAUGCUCGUUCUUAGCUCACCUGCCUCAUGCCAAUUGGCAAGUACAUAACAGGAAAAUAGUCAUCGGGUUAUACUAAGCACAUAAGUUUUGUUUCUACUAUGGUAGAUUGGUAGGAAAUUUUCUUCAAAACUUGCAACUGGUCAUGUGGGGUCACGUGGCUCUGACAUAAUGCUGCGAAUCCGCCCUAGGGGCUUGGAUGCUUGAGUUGUUGGGCGAGUUGUAGUUAUUUGUUUGAAUACA